UACGUAGGGUGCAAGCGUUGUCCGGAAUUAUUGGGCGUAAAGAGCUCGUAGGCGGUUUGUCGCGUCUGCUGUGAAAACCCGAGGCUCAACCUCGGGCCUGCAGUGGGUACGGGCAGACUAGAGUGCGGUAGGGGAGAUUGGAAUUCCUGGUGUAGCGGUGAAAUGCGCAGAUAUCAGGAGGAACACCAACGGCGAAGGCAGCACUCUGGGCCGGUACUGACGCUGAGGAGCGAAAGCGUGGGGAGCAAACAGG
rnacentral:rRNA from 1 species